rnacentral:rRNA from 1 species
UGGGAAACGGGUUAAUAUUCCCGUACUUCUGACUAUUGCGAUGGGGGGACGGAGAAGGCUAGGUGGGCCAGGCGACGGUUGUCCUGGUUCAAGUGCGUAGGCUUGAGAGUUAGGUAAAUCCGGCUCUCUCUAAGGCUGAGACACGACGUCGAGCUGCUACGGCAGUGAAGUCAUUGAUGCCAUGCUUCCAGGAAAAGCCUCUAAGCUUCAGAUAGUCAGGAAUCGUACCCCAAACCGACACAGGUGGUCGGGUAGAGAAUACCAAGGCGCUUGAGAGAACUCGGGUGAAGGAACUAGGCAAAAUGGUACCGUAACUUCGGGAGAAGGUACGCUCUUGAUGGUGAAGUCCCUCGCGGAUGGAGCUGACGAGAGUCGCAGAUACCAGGUGGCUGCAACUGUUUAUUAAAAACACAGCACUGUGCAAAAUCGCAAGAUGACGUAUACGGUGUGACGCCUGCCCGGUGCCGGAAGGUUAAUUGAUGGGGUUAGCGCAAGCGAAGCUCUUGAUCGAAGCCCCGGUAAACGGCGGCCGUAACUAUAACGGUCCUAAGGUAGCGAAAUUCCUUGUCGGGUAAGUUCCGACCUGCACGAAUGGCGUAAUGAUGGCCACGCUGUCUCCACCCGAGACUCAGUGAAAUUGAAAUCGCUGUGAAGAUGCAGUGUACCCGCGGCUAGACGGAAAGACCCCGUGAACCUUUACUACAGCUUGGCACUGAACAUUGAACCUACAUGUGUAGGAUAGGUGGGAGGCUAUGAAGACGUGACGCCAGUUGCGUUGGAGCCGUCCUUGAAAUACCACCCUUGUAUGUUUGAUGUUCUAACUUAGACCCAUUAUCUGGGUUGAGGACAGUGCCUGGUGGGUAGUUUGACUGGGGCGGUCUCCUCCCAAAGAGUAACGGAGGAGCACGAAGGUGGGCUAAUCACGGUUGGACAUCGUGAGGUUAGUGCAAUGGCAUAAGCCCGCUUAACUGCGAGAAUGACGGUUCGAGCAGGUGCGAAAGCAGGUCAUAGUGAUCCGGUGGUUCUGUAUGGAAGGGCCAUCGCUCAACGGAUAAAAGGUACUCCGGGGAUAACAGGCUGAUACCGCCCAAGAGUUCAUAUCGACGGCGGUGUUUGGCACCUCGAUGUCGGCUCAUCACAUCCUGGGGCUGAAGUCGGUCCCAAGGGUAUGGCUGUUCGCCAUUUAAAGUGGUACGCGAGCUGGGUUUAGAACGUCGUGAGACAGUUCGGUCCCUAUCUGCCGUGGGCGUUGGAAGAUUGAAGGGGGCUGCUCCUAGUACGAGAGGACCGGAGUGGACGAACCUCUGGUGUUCGGGUUGUGUCGCCAGACGCAUUGCCCGGUAGCUAAGUUCGGAAUUGAUAAGCGCUGAAAGCAUCUAAGCGCGAAGCGAGCCCUGAGAUGAGUCUUCCCUGAUACUUUAAGUAUCCUAAAGGGUUGUUCGAGACUAGAACGUUGAUAGGCAGGGUGUGUAAGCGUUGUGAGGCGUUGAGCUAACCUGUACUAAUUGCCCGUGAGGCUUAACCAUACAACACCCA